rnacentral:rRNA from 1 species
UACGGAGGGUGCAAGCGUUAAUCGGAAUUACUGGGCGUAAAGCGCACGUAGGUGGUUUGUUAAGUCAGCUGUGAAAUCCCCGGGCUCAACCUGGGCACUGCAGUUGAAACUGGCAAGCUAGAGUAGGGUAGAGGGGUGUGGAAUUCCAGGUGUAGCGGUGAAAUGCGUAGAUAUAGGAAGGAACACCAGUGGCGAAGGCGACCACCUGGACCAGCACUGACACUGAGGCACGAAAGCGUGGGGAGCAAACAGG